CAGCAGCCGCGGUAAUACGUAGGGUGCAAGCGUUAAUCGGAAUUACUGGGCGUAAAGCGUGCGCAGGCGGUUUGUUAAGACAGAUGUGAAAUCUCCGGGCUCAACCUGGGAACUGCAUUUGUGACUGGCAAGCUAGAGUGUGGCAGAGGGGGGUGGAAUUCCGCGUGUAGCAGUGAAAUGCGUAGAUAUGCGGAGGAACACCGAUGGCGAAGGCAGCCCCCUGGGCCAACACUGACGCUCAUGCACGAAAGCGUGGGGAGCAAACAGGAUUAGAUACCCCCGUAGUCCCUGUCUCUUAUAC
rnacentral:rRNA from 1 species